GUUUCUAUAAUGGUUAGGUGUCAUCUUGUUGUUAAAUCAAUUUUUGUCUUUUCAAUUUCUUUUUGCAACGUGUCUUCCUGAUAUCAACUUAUGCAUGUGAUCCUCUAUGUCUUCCUUCUAUUCUUCCUGUAAUGAUAUCACUAUUUUCACAUCAAAGUUCAAUUCUUUCUCUUCAUCAUUUACCAGGGUGAAGGUAAGGAUUUGAAAUUCUUACAACUAAGGUUCGUUUAUAGAAAUAUAGAAUAUCAACAAAAUCGACGAGAACACGGAAGAAUGGACUUGUAAAGUUCAAGUGGUAGAUAAAGGCCAUCCUCGAACCAACAGGGAGAGAAACAAGAAAUAUCAAUUGAUGAUAUUACAAGACGAAGAGGUGUUUAUCACAUAAACAAAAGAUAUUCAUCUACUUUCACAAAUCAGUUUGUAGCAAAAUAUACAAGUUGCAUAUCAUUUUUACUUUGCUUUUUAAUGGUUGUAAUCUGCCUUCAUUUAUUUAUCUUCAAUUCAAUGCUCUUCUACUUAGUUGAAAUAUUGUUGCUUGUGAGUUUUGAUGUGAAACACUUGUUGUCACUCUAAAUUUACAUUUUAA